GCUGACACGUCCCGGCCAAUCUCCAGCAGACCCUCCCUCCCAGACCCUCCUACUUCCUGGACAGCAUCCAUGUUGAAACAUGGAUGCUGUCCAGGAAGUAGGAGGGUCUGGGAGGGAGGGUCUGCUGGAGAUUGGCCGGGACGUGUCAG